rnacentral:tRNA from 1 species
CAGGGGAGAGCUCAGUGGUAGAGCACUGGCUUAGCAUGCACGAGGUCCUGGGUUCAAUCCCCAGUUCCCUCA